rnacentral:rRNA from 1 species
ACGAGAAUCUAUGGAAAGAGGAUUCGUCCAAUUGAAAUAGAGGACAGUGGCGGACGGGUGAGUAACGCGUGAGGAACCUGCCUUUCAGAGGGGGACAACAGUUGGAAACGACUGCUAAUACCGCAUAACACAUAGGAGUCGCAUGGCUCUUAUGUCAAAGAUUUAUCGCUGAAAGAUGGCCUCGCGUCUGAUUAGCUAGUUGGUGAGGUAACGGCCCACCAAGGCGACGAUCAGUAGCCGGACUGAGAGGUUGAACGGCCACAUUGGGACUGAGAUACGGCCCAGACUCCUACGGGAGGCAGCAGUGGGGAAUAUUGGGCAAUGGGCGCAAGCCUGACCCAGCAACGCCGCGUGAAGGAAGAAGGCUUUCGGGUUGUAAACUUCUUUUGUCAGGGACGAGCAGAAGACGGUACCUGACGAAUAAGCCACGGCUAACUACGUGCCAGCAGCCGCGGUAAUACGUAGGUGGCAAGCGUUGUCCGGAUUUACUGGGUGUAAAGGGCGUGUAGCCGGGUCGGCAAGUCAGAUGUGAAAUCCACGGGCUUAACUCGUGAACUGCAUUUGAAACUGUUGAUCUUGAGUAUCGGAGAGGCAAUCGGAAUUCCUAGUGUAGCGGUGAAAUGCGUAGAUAUUAGGAGGAACACCAGUGGCGAAGGCGGAUUGCUGGACGACAACUGACGGUGAGGCGCG